AGCAUGGACGAGAGUGAGAAAAAAGGAUUUAAAAUUUGAUUCUUUACAGUGUAAUGAGCUAUACAUUUUUUUAGUUGUAUUCAUUAUAAAAUGUUAUAUUAAUUUGUUUUUUUUUUAUUAGAAGAGUUUACAAGCAUGCCUAGGAUCAGUAUUUUAUCCGAUCAACCAACGCCCCCAGGAAAGAAUUCCCAUCUUGUAAACAACGUCAUACUGUCUAGCGAAACACCGAGCGCGCGGGUUCCAUCGGUUUCAUCGUACCGAUAAUGUUGAACACUGUUUCCGGUUUAUCUCUCGACAAUUUAACACCCCUCCCCAGUUAUGCCGACACGAUUCAACGACAAAGUUGAGCGAGGAAACACAACCAUUGCCAUAAAUACCGCGUGAGAUGCGGUUUGUAGUCGCAAUGUCUGUCGGAAAGGUUUCGUACGAUCGUUUACAUUUUUAGCUCUUCUUUGACUUGAAGGUUUGCGUUGCCGUUUUGUUGAUCGACAAGCUUGUCCAGCUUCGAUUUGCGUUCACGUGCAAAUAAAAUUGAACGCAAGACUUGGCUGACUCUGUUGUAACAAGAAAUAAGGAUCAUGGAAGCCUCGAUCAUUUAGAGGGCCUGGUCUCAAUAAGCCCGGUGGCCGAUGCGAUAGCCACAACUGUAGUGUGAACUCCCUAAGGGGACUCUUGUAACGUCUCCUCUUGGACUUUAACUAUGGCCCAGUCAGCAGAUUCUACAGAUCUACAGAUUCAACAGAUUCUACAGCAGAGUGACUUGUUCCGCCACUGAUUGAAGUUCUUGACGACCAUCGUCCUAAACCCGAUUUGGAUAGCAGUCACGUUUACGUGAGCUGUUCCAAUCCAUCCCCAAAAACCCCGAUAAGCAUAUUGGAGUUAAGCGAUGACAUCCCGCUUAAAUACACGACACCAUGUCCGAUAAACCACGCAAAACAUUUUGCAAUCUUCAGCCGACCGGCACACGACCGAACACACC